GAUCGGCUCGGGGUCCGUCGUCUGCUGAUUACGUUACACAAUAUCAUUGGCUGUACGCUUGAAUGGGCGUAGGCUACAUUGUGAUUGGCUGCUAAGGGACAGUUGUGAUUGGCUGUUUUGUGCUGUAGCUCUGGCUGUCGUCAUAGCAACCACAGCGAGCACAUGUGUGAGCGCGAGUAGGUCUGUCUAGUUUCGGUUUGUGUUGCCAGAUUGGGCAUAUAUCCCGUUUUUCCAGCCUAACGUGAUUCAAAGUAGCCAAAUCAGGCUGAAAAUGUGCCCAAUCUGGCAACACGGACGGCUUAUCUUAACAGCCAAGAUGAUUCCGAGGGAUGUUUUGUUUUUAGAAGAAAACUAUCCAUACAAAUAGGUUGGGAAUGGUCUAUGUUCAAAAUGAAAGAUCAUUACAGGCUCUUUAAUUUAAGCCAUAAAAUACCUUAUUGCUGUAGAUAGCGUAUUGUGUGACGUAAUCAGCAGACGACGGACCCCGAGCCGAUCUGGUAGCCGAGCCAAUAUGGUACUUACAACGGUCCAAACAGAUGUCUCUCCUCCAGCUGUUCCGGUGACGUCAGAGGAAAGACCCAGAGAGCCGCUAGCUAGCUGGCGUUAGCUCUCCUGAUCUACAGUACAGACUCGCUAACCAUCUAACAUGCAUUGAUCAUAAUACAGUCUUUCAGCCAUUCGGAACCCAGAACAGGACGUAUUUAUCAAAACCUGUCCUUUGCGUCUCGUUUCCUCUGUUACUCAGAAGAGUUCCUCUCGACGGCUGGUUCACUGAACCGCAGUUUUCCAACUGUGGUGCCAGAAAAAAGACGGCUAGAAACUGAGACUAAAAACUGAGUCUGGAUUCAAUGAGGGAGCCAGAACGGGAGGAGCAGCUUGACGAGAACAUGCCCCCCAAGUUUAAACGGCACCUCAACGAUGAGGAGGUCACUGGAUCCAUCCGGAGCGAGAGGGUGAGACACAAAUGGUGUUAGUUGUGGUCACCUUCUGUAUAGUAGGGUUUACUAUUGGAUUGCAUCUGGUCCAUGCCUGAAUUAGGCUUUCAUCAACAUAAAAAUCCCUGUUCCAUACUGUUCUGGGGCCGUAUUCACAAAGGAUCUUAGGGCUAAAAGUAGGUCCUAACUGGCGAAUUUAGGAGUAACUCCUAAAAGUAAUGGGCGUGUCACUCUUAAAUUUAGGACUCACUAAUAGCAAUUCA